GACGGAGGAUGCAAGCGUUAUCCGGAAUGAUUGGGCGUAAAGCGUCUGCAGGUGGCAGUUCAAGUCUGCUGUCAAAGACCGGGGCUUAACUUCGGAAAGGCAGUGGAAACUGAACAGCUAGAGUAUGGUAGGGGCAGAGGGAAUUCCUGGUGUAGCGGUGAAAUGCGUAGAGAUUGGAAAGAACACCGAUGGCGAAGGCACUUUACUGGGCUAUUACUAACACUCAGAGACGAAAGCUAGGGUAGCAAAUGGG
rnacentral:rRNA from 1 species